UACUGAGCUGCCAUGUGGCAUCCUAAAAUCUUAACCAGAAUCAUAUUAUAGUAACAGUAACAGACAAUAAUAUAAGGGCGUUUAUUGAGCAUUUACUAUGUGCCAAGUACUCUUAAGCACUUUACAUGUAUUAACUUCCUAAAUUGACACAAUCUUCUUAUGAGAUAGGUGAACCAAUUAAUUCCCUUGUCCAGAUGAGAAAAUUUAGGCACUGGAGGGGUUAAGGAAGAUGACUGCUGGCUCCUGAAUCUUUCACCACACUACUUUCCCUAAAGUGAAACAGAAAAUUACAUUCUCUUCACACCGGCACCCCUACUCCCCAUAAAUAUCUAGCUUAAAAAUGGAUUUCUUUACUUUAAAAAAAUUUUUCAUAUGUGGUUGUGGUAUUUGAAGAUUUCCGGGCCUUCUAGGUCACCCUGCCCUGGGAAGUCUGGAAUCUGUCAGUGCCGUUCUUCUAAGUCAGAGACCUAAAUCUGCACAUAGGCUCAGCUGGGAUCUGAACAGUCCACCCGUGUCUGUGAAAAUGGUUAACCCUUACUGCACUGUCUCCCAGACCAGGCCCUUUGCCAGAUGCUCUCUGGAAGAAACACGCGUGGAAGAUAUUUUGCAUUCCUUUUGUACCUGAGUACCUCGAGACUUAAAGAAACCGGAGUUCCUGGCCAAGGACACACUGAUCUCACCUGAGGGCACUUGGGCAUAAGAUGCACUCCUCCCGCUUCCACGCCUGACCCCUGCCACACACAUCCUGCCAUUGAGUUUGCUGGCUCCGGCACAAUGAAAAAAGACAGCGGGAAACACUCUCCAUGUACCCAGACCACUGCUCUUCCAGGUUCCGGGAGCCGCCAAAUCUCCUCUUGUGUGCUGUCCUCACAAGCAGAGUCCUGAUUAAGCGCUUCCUGGCUAUCAGACCCUCCGGAAGAUUCAGCCUCUGUCCUCCUGUACCAUCUUCUGUAAAUAUAUCCUUAGGGGUGGCAGCUGCUUCAUUGAACUGGGGUUACCUAUUUGCAUAGGAGCCAAGACUGCCUCACUUCAUCUUUCAUUUCCACACUUCUAUUGUGGAACGUGAUACACAGUGCUCAAAAACGUUACAUGAAUGAAUGGAGAAUAAAGAAUACAGAUUUUACAUCUGGAACCCAAAGAUCUGGAAACUGGUCUAAGAAGAAGGGAAAGGGUCAUAGUCUUUAAGAUGACCUCCAAGAAGCAUCUCAUGCCUGCAGUAGUUAGCUCCUAUCCCACAUUGAUAGGACCAGGCUCUAUACCCAGUACGUUUAUUGUGGAAAUGAUGUAUGAAUACUAGACUGAGUCAUCAAAGACUUGGUUUUUGCCUUGUUCUGUUGUGGGAAGAGCUGCCAUGGGAAACUCCUGGGAAGAAUUAGGCAGCAUUCCAGCAAGGACGUGGAGAGGCGUGUGCAGUGAGGAACUGAACCCUCUUACCUGUGGUUGUGUAAGUGAGCCAGCUGGUUUGGAAAUGUAUCCUCUGGCCUCAUCAAGAUUUUAAAUAAUUUGCACAUCUUGUUCAGAAUCUUAUGGAUUUCCUAAGCCAAAACCACCCAACUAAAGCUCUGCUAAAUUCCUUACUCACCAAAAACUGUGAGGUAAUAAAUAUUUAUUGUUUUACACAAUCAAAA